rnacentral:sRNA from 1 species
AUGAAAGGUAAGAAUUAAGUCACAUACUCUCAUAGUUCCUUUGAAAUAAGCAUGAGCUUUGAUACAAAAGCUGUGCCUAGUGCAAGGUAUCUUAUUAUAUAAAGUAUGGUUUUCAAAGUUACUAACUCUUAAGAUCGUGGCACGUGUCAAGUCAAACGAUCAGAUGUUUACAAGUUACUAACUCUUAAGAUCGUGCCACGUGUCAAGUCAAACGAUCAGAUGUUUACAUGUGUCAUUCAAAAUUUAAUUUUUUAUUCUCUUAAGAAAAUAGAAAAUCUUAAAAAAGUAAACAAAUUUACAUAUACUAAUUUAUAUAUCUAUAUAUUUAUAAACAAUUAACAUUUAUUCAACAAAAGGAAAAUUAACAAAUUUGUCUUUAACUAAUGUAAUCAUAAGUGAAAAUAGAACAUUUUGAGAGAAAUAGCUUAGCUUAUAAGAUUUAACUUUUCAAUUAUUUUUAAUGAGAAUAUUUUCAUUUAUUAAUUUUAACUCAUUUAAUAUUAAUUUGCUUGAUGUAAAAUUAACUUACGAGAUUACGGCAUAUAUAAAACAUAUAUUUUCAACAAUGUUUGGUUUCUAAAUAUUUUUGUAGAUUUCUAUUUUUUUAUUAAUUAUUAGCCCUAGGCGUUUGGGUAUUCGGGUCGGGUAUUUCGGGUUCGGGUUUUCGGGCUUAGAAGUUUAGAACCCGUUCGGGUAAUUUAAGAUUUCGGGUCGGGUUCGGUUCGGGUUCGAGUUUAUUUAUAUAUUGAAAUAUCAAAUUUUGUCUGCAAAUCUAUUAAAUUACUUGAAAAUUUUAAAAAUUCCCAAAACAACACGAGUAGUUUUGCUUGAAUAUAUCUUAAAAUACACAAAAAUAUCUAAAAUAUCCAAAAAAUCCUAAUAUUUUCUAUAUAUAAGUAUAAAUAUAACUAAUAUAUAUUUAUAUUUGAGAUAUGUUUGGAUACUUAUUCGGGUUUGGGUUCGGGUUUUUCGGGUUUUGAAGUUUAGACCUGUUCGGGUAUUUGAAAAUUUUGGGUUCGGGUUCGGAUCGGGUUUUUUGGAUCGGUUCUUCGGUUUUGGGUAUUAUGCCUAGGCCUAUUAAUUAUGUUUUGUUAAUUGUUAAUUAUUUUUAAUACUAACUAGGAUAUAGAUUUGAUGUCAUAAAUAUUA